AAAAAGAGCAGAACCUAGUUCCUGUUGUAAAAAACUUGUUUGGUAAACUUAUAGCUCACGUGUCCCAAAUAGCCUUGCAUUCUAAAAGUUUACUCUGGAAUGUCAACAACAACAGAGCCGAACAGUUUAAUAGCAUUGUGGCUAAGCAUAUAGGGGGAAAAAGAAUAAAUUUUUCUUUAAAAAACUCUUAUACUGCCAGGUGCCAUGCUGCGGUUGUUGCAUUUAAUACCGGUAAACCACAGUACAAUUUAUACCAAACUAACUUCAAACAAAGUCCGAGGAAAGCUGUAAAAAUUCUGGAGUUGCGCCGGCGUAGGCGCAAUAUUCAUCGCCGCCGUCAAGGUCCUAAAAGGAAAAUAAUAUUUAGUAAUGAGAACCGAGACUACGGAGAGAAAUGCCAAAAACCAGAUUUGAGUCCAGAGCAGUACGACAUAGCCAAAAGUUUGUUUUUGUCUAAUUUGAAAGAACUUGUGGAAAAUCGUCAUGCCGUUGAACGUGACACGGUAUUACAAGCUGAAAGUGCGUUGUGGCUAGAGCUCCGUAGAUGCCUGUUGACAGCCUCAUCAUUCAGCAAGAUUUGCAAGAGACGACCCAACAUAAGCUCAGCACCUCUUGUGAAGUCCAUCGUAUACUCGUAUUCGUUGGACAAAGUGCCAGCCAUAGAAUAUGGUAAAAGUAAUGAAAAAUCUGCUAUAGACCAACUACAGCAACAAGAAAACAUCGUUGUGGAAAAGUGUGGACUUUUCAUCGACAAAGAGCAUUAUUUCUUGGGUGCAUCUCCCGAUGGUCUCUACAACCAGGGAAUUAUUGAAAUAAAAUGUCCAUAUUCUGCACGCAACAUGGAUGCUGAGGAAGCGAUAAGGCAGCGCAAAAUUAAAUUUUGGAAAUUGGACGGCACCGUUAAUACCAACCACGAUUGGUAUUACCAAAUUCAGGGGCAGCUUCACAUUAGCGAAAAGAAAUUGUGUCUUUUUGCUGUGUGGACUGGUCAACAAUUUCCACUUAAAGUGGAAGUAAUAUCAAGGGACGAGGGUUUUUGGUGCCAAAAAAUGAAACCGAAAUUAAUCAAUUUCUACGAAAAGUGCCUCUUACCUGAAUAUAUCGACCCCAGGA